rnacentral:rRNA from 1 species
AGCGCAGGCGGGAAGACAAGUUGGAAGUGAAAUCCAUGGGCUCAACCCAUGAACUGCUUUCAAAACUGUUUUUCUUGAGUAGUGCAGAGGUAGGCGGAAUUCCCGGUGUAGCGGUGGAAUGCGUAGAUAUCGGGAGGAACACCAGUGGCGAAGGCGGCCUACUGGGCACCAACUGACGCUGGGGCUCGAAAGUGUGGGUAAGUAAACA